CAACAAAACAAUAUAAUUAAGUGCAAGAUUGAAUAAACAAAUUAAUAUGAUAAACCAAGCAAAGCAAUCAACCCUCAACUACAAUAAUCAAUAACGACCUAUAACCCUAGAAUAAUGUGGUUCUUAACCACUCAUGAUAAAGUUAAACAAUUUCAUAGCUGUUGAAUAGUUGAAAAUACUAAGAAAGAUGAAGAAAAACUAAGAAUCCUUGCUCCCAAAUAUUUUGUUCUUGUGUUUUCCCCUCAAAGUGGCGUCUCCCCCUCCAAAAAGGAUUAGACUUAUUUUUAUACCAAUUGGGGGUGUGCAUGGUCGAAAUAACCUUGUCCCGAGCAAAAUAGGAGAAUUCCCGUCACCCAGCACCCAGGGUAGCGCAUCGCGCUAGCCUGGCGCUAAGUUGUGCCCAAAAGUUUUCAGGCCUGCAAGUUGUGGCCCGGGCAGCGCAACGCGCUGGCUUGGGCGUUGCAUUGGGCCUUUUUCUUAUUUUGUUCUCUUUUUUGCUUCAAUUCGUAUACUUUUGUCUCGCAUUGCCCCUCGGGUGACUCCUACACAUAAAAAAUCGUGAAUUAGAAUAAAUCAUUACAUUACAAUAAAAUGUGAGGCGAUAUGCAUAUAAAUAUACAUAAUUUAAGCCGAAUAUCAAAAGGUCUCGAUUUAAAUAUGGUGAUUAUCUAUAAUUAAGAAAUUACCUUCUAUGUUUUCCCUUUACUUUCUAUAGUUUUCUCUAUGUUUAUAAUAAGAAUAAAACCCUACUUGUCACGGAAGGAAAUUCGGUAUUGGUGGCAUAUGCAGAGAUCAUAAAGGUAAGCUAACUAUGGCGUUUGCUUCUUCAAUUGGCAGAACAAAUAGUAACAUGGCUGAAGCUAGUGCAGCCUUAGCGGGGGUGGAAUGGCGUAGUCGCAAUGGUUGCAACAAAUUAUACUGGAGUGUGAUUCCCAGCUUGUGGUUGAUUUGAUCAAUGGUAAAUCAAAACCUCCUUGGCAAAUGCAAGGCAUUAUCAGACAGAUUCAAUACAUUGCCCGUCAACUCAAUUGUGCUAUUUGUCAUUGUUAUAGAGAAGCUAAUCAAGUUGCGGAUGCAUUAGCAAAAUGGAGCAUUUACAAUGAAGAACUUCUUAUUUUCUCCCAUCAUGCUUUUCCUACUUCUGCAGUUGGACCUUACAGAUUGGAUUACAUCUAGAUGGUGUCACUAAGGCAUAAACAUAGGAAGAAUACUUUUUUGUGAAGAGUUUUUGUAGGUUAUUGUAUAUGCAAUGGUGUAUAUGCCAAACUGCACAACGCAGUUUUGUUUUUGUAUGUAAUGCAUAAGGGCAUGCCACGUAAUAAUAUAGGUCCCUGUAAUAUUUUUGUACUUUUUGUUGGUUGAAUGAUAGGGCAUGCCACCAUACGGCGUAAUUGAUAUAAAAAAAAAAAGCCCUGCUUGUCAAGGAUCUAUGCAUUUCUACAUGGAAAAUGGAAGUUCCAAUGAAACAUACUUUCAGGGCAAUAUUAGUUAUUGUUUAUUACAACUUAUAGUACUAGACUACAACAAAAGUAACUACAAGUACAUAUGCCUAGUCAAGAGCAAUUUCUCUUUUUGAGUUCCUAGGAGGAUCUUGGGAGUUCGAAAUUAAAGAGAACUUAUUGGCCUAGUCAAGAGCAAUAUUUUACGAAUUUCUUUUAUACAAAGUUAAAAUCUUUGAAGAGAUUACCACAUAUUAUAACCUUAAAAACACGCAUAAGAUCUCAGUUUACAUGUAAAGUUUAUGGCGUACCAUGUUUGAAAUUGUCUAAUAACUUAAAACGUAAAAAGUACUUCUGAGAUCUCUCAUUAAUAGGUACAGUUAUUUAAAAUAACUUAAAACGUAAAAAGCACUUCUAAGAUCAACGUAAAAAGCACUUCUGAGAUCUCUCAUUAAAAGGUACAGUUAUUUAAAAAGCACUUAUGAAAUCUGUUAUUAAAAAGUACAGUUAUUUAAAAAACACUCAUGAGAUUUGUUAUUAAAAAGUACAUUUGUUUAAUUUUUGUGUAGUCGUGCGCAAUAGAGACGUCGGAUUCGAAAUUAUUCUAAUGCACUCUCGUUACUUUCAGGGUUUAUUUUAAAAUAUUUGAUUAAUUCAAUAUACAUAUUCCCUAGAAAGUUAGUAUUUCACAUGAUCUCUCUCACUAAAUCAAGGAUUAUUUAUAACUGUCAAAAAAAAAAAAAAACUCUAUUAUAAGAGAUUGCUUCUUCCUCUCUCCAUCAAAUGACAAUAAAUCCAACAAAGAAACAAGAAGAAAUAUAUGAAAACGAAUAAUAACGAUAAGAAAAUGAAGCAGCUACAGUACUAUAUUAUCAAGUUUUUUUCCUAUGGAACUCUCAGAUCUAAUAUUAGCUGAUUCCAUUCUUCAAAGCAUAUUAAAUCAAAGGUUAUCAAUGACAUUCUGGUGAAAAGAAAAUUAAUUUUUUUCCACGCUUCAGAUAAAUCAACUUCUUAUAAAAAGAAAAUCCCACAAAAAUAUACCUAAUCUUCCAAUGUACAGCAAUAAUUUUUUAUUUUUUUUGAUUUGGAAGGAUGAUUUAUAUAAUAAUUAUUCGAGUUCAAUAAAUGCCAUGAUGCUUAUCUUAGCAUCUAAAUUUCCAUAUAAUCAACAUCGUUUUGCUAAUUCUGCCAAUAUUAAUUCCUUAAAAAAAAAAUAAGACAAUAACAACAUACUCCGGAUGAUCCCAUAUGUGGAAUUUUGGGAGAAUAAGAUAUAUACAGACCUUAUCCCGACCUUUUGUGAGGUAGAGAGGCUGGUUCAAGCAAAGGAAUCACCAUAAAAUCCUUAUAAAUAGUUAUAAGCAAAGGAGUACUAAGCACAUAAAUUCACAAUCCAAAUGAAUCACCUUAUAAAAUCAUACGAACAAACAUCUCUCUUUUGCCGUUUUAUUGGAGAAAGAAGUCAUUAUUUGCUGAUGCAGCAUCAUCAUGAUUCUCAUAUUCAAAAAAAACUUAGGGGUGGCAGAUUUUUAGAAACAUAUUUUCUGCUCCACAUGAUUUCUAUGUGAAUCUUGAUAAUGCUGCAGCUGCAAGUAACAACUGUAUGUCAAUCAAUGUACAAUCCGCUUAAGGAAAAAGGGCCAAUAUUCCUGGAACCGGAUGAUAUAAUCAGAUCUGGAGCCAGAAUUUUUACCAAGGAAUUCGACAUAUUAAAAAGUAAACACACGAACAAGACAAGGGGAUUCAACCUCUACUAUUUAUGCAUAAAUACUAAUAUUAACCUUAUGUAUGCAGCAUAAUUUUUUGGCGAAGCCCAUUUUGGAUGAUCCCCUUCAACCACCCUAUUUUCGUCCCUGGACAUAACACGCUAAAGAUAUUUAUAUUAAGGUAAGAUCUACAGUUCAAUAUAAACAUAUAGAUCCGUAAGAAUUUAUGGAAGUCAAAAGAAACAAAAGGUAUAGAGUCCUGUGGAUGGAGGCGAAGAAAACUAAUUUUUAACACGGAAAGGAGUUUUAAGGAAAUAAACAAAAGGAAAGGGUUUUGAAGACCCAGUUAACAAAUGUUUCAAUAUUAAAGAAAAAUAGGACAGGGGAAAAAAUAAUUAACCUAAACAAAUUACCAAGAUGUUGGGUUAUUAGUAAAUCUUUUGAAAGGAAAAACCUUAAGAGAAAACAUGUUGAGGAGAAGAGGUUGCUUAUAUAGAGUUGCUUACCCUUCCUUUCACUGGAUGGAGGUUUUCUUUCUUAUACGUGGACCAAUGAAAUUCUAGGGUUUAAUAGUCAGUGUAUACAAUUC
rnacentral:lncRNA from 1 species